rnacentral:rRNA from 1 species
AGUGAACGCUGGCGGUAGGCCUAACACAUGCAAGUCGAACGGCAGCACAGUAAGAGCUUGCUCUUACGGGUGGCGAGUGGCGGACGGGUGAGGAAUACAUCGGAAUCUACUUUUUCGUGGGGGAUAACGUAGGGAAACUUACGCUAAUACCGCAUACGACCUACGGGUGAAAGCAGGGGAUCUUCGGACCUUGCGCGAUUGAAUGAGCCGAUGUCGGAUUAGCUAGUUGGCGGGGUAAAGGCCCACCAAGGCGACGAUCCGUAGCUGGUCUGAGAGGAUGAUCAGCCACACUGGAACUGAAACACGGUCCAGACUCCUACGGGAGGCAGCAGUGGGGAAUAUUGGACAAAGGGCGCAAGCCUGAUCCAGCCAUACCGCGUGGGUGAAGAAGGCCUUCGGGUUGUAAAGCCCUUUUGUUGGGAAAGAAAAGCAGCAGGUUAAUACCCCGCUGUUCUGACGGUACCCAAAGAAUAAGCACCGGCUAACUUCGUG